AUCAGAUUAAGUACAGUAAUCUGCUCCGUUGUCUCAAGAGUUUGUCGAUCAGUUUCAGCUAAACCGACCUAAGCAAUGGCGGAGCCAGAGGGGUACCACCCCAACAUAACUGGCAGUUGCUGAUGCUGAUUGACAUCUCAUGUAACCUCUUGUCAGAAGAAGAGUUUUUUUUUUUUUUGUUUUUUUUUUUUUCGGGUGUAAGAAUUAAGGGUGAUUGUAUGUUGAUUGGUGGAGCAAGGUAAAUCAGGAGAUUGCAUGUAGAGUGUCAAUGGUCCAUUUGGAUGAUAGGUGGCGGUAAUGCGCUUAUGUGUCUGCGAGCCGCCGUAAAACAAGAAGAAGAAGAAGAAGAGUUUUGUUUUUGUGACGUUCGCCGGCAGCGCGCGCAGUUUUCAAACGGAAGACGAGCCGAGGACGACAGAAUAUGGUUGCAAGAUACAGAAGAAUAAGAAAACGUCAUAUUUGAAAUAGAUGUAUCAGGGGAUGACACAGUGACCUCUGAUUCUAAGCAAGACAGUGAGCCAGAGCUGCCAGGAGAUGUCACUGAGCCCCUCCCAACUGCAACAAGCACCAGAUUUGCUGAUCCAAAAGGACCCAGUGACAUCUCUAGAUCCAGAGAAGAGGGUCCUGUACAGCCAUGUUUGAAAACAUUUCCCAGAACUCAGCAUGGUACUAGGAAAAGUGCUUUCAACAGCUCCUGGUGUAAGGACAGUUCAUGGCUUGAAUAAUCUGUAAAUCAAGAUUCAGUUUAUUGUUGCACAGUGGGCACUAUGCAUGAAGGGUGCAUUGCUUCAUGCAACUUGUAGACACAUAGUGACCCAAUUCUUUCCACUAUGUGAGUACUGUGUGUGUGUGUUAUUACUAUCAUUACCAGAAAAACAGCUUAUAAAUCGUACUAAAUCAUACAUACUACAUAUUUUUUUAGGUUUAGGUGAUGGAUAGGUUUAGGGGAUAGAAAAUACAGUUUGUACAGUAUAAAAAUCAUUAUGGAAAUUCCCCAUAAAACAUGGAAACCCAACAUUGUGUGUGUGUGUGUGUGUGUGUGUGGACCCCCAAAAGUAGCAGUGGCCACCCCAUGUAUAAAACUCUAGUUCCGCCACUGGACCUAAGUCCAACAAAAAAACUUAAAUAUCGUAAUGGAUAUCUAGUCUUGAUUAUGUAUAUGCUGCUGAAAGGAAACAGUAGGUUUUCAGAGUAUGAGAAGGUACUGUCUUCCCAACAAACUUUUCCCUAUCGUUAGAAUAUAGUUCCUGUUCCUGUAAUGCUUAUUUUUUUCUUUUUCAUUACCAAAUUUUUUUUUAAUAAACACGGCAGAGAGGUUGAUAUACAACAAUAACUGAGAAGUACAGCACUGUACAGCAUUUUAGAUACAUAUAGAAUUGUAUUAUUUAUUUAUUUAUUACAAAAAAUGUGAUUUGUAUGCAUUAUCGGGGGCGUAGAUUCCAGGGGGGAUGAGGGGUCAAGGCUCAUUCAGUGUUGAAUCACAGCAGGGUUGCAGAAAGGAUAAAUUAGUCUUCCAAAAUGUGUUGUGGUUGAUUUUAAGGAUUAUACAGUAUAAUAAUUACAAUGGAUAA